UGAGGAAUAUUGGUCAAUGGACGGAAGUCUGAACCAGCCAAGUAGCGUGCAGGAUGACGGCCCUAUGGGUUGUAAACUGCUUUUGUAUGGGGAUAAAGUCAGUCACGUGUGAUUGUUUGCAGGUACCAUACGAAUAAGGACCGGCUAAUUCCGUGCCAGCAGCCGCGGUAAUACGGAAGGUCCGGGCGUUAUCCGGAUUUAUUGGGUUUAAAGGGAGCGUAGGCUGGAGAUUAAGUGUGUUGUGAAAUGUAGACGCUCAACGUCUGACUUGCAGCGCAUACUGGUUUCCUUGAGUACGCACAACGUUGGCGAAAUUCGUCGUGUAGCGGUGAAAUGCUUAGAUAUGACGAAGAACUCCGAUUGCGAAGGCAGCUGACGGGAGCGCAACUGACGCUGAAGCUCGAAGGUGCGGGUAUCGAACAGGAUUAGAUACCCUGGUAGUCCGCACAGUAAACGAUGGAUGCCCGCUGUUGGUACCUGGUAUCAGCGGCUAAGCGAAAGCAUUAAGCAUCCCACCUGGGGAGUACGCCGGCAACGGUG
rnacentral:rRNA from 1 species